rnacentral:rRNA from 1 species
GGACUACAGGGGUUUCUAAUCCUGUUUGCUACCCACGCUUUCGUGCCUCAGUGUCAGUUUGAGUCCAGGAGGCCGCCUUCGCCACUGGUGUUCCUUCCGAUAUCUACGCAUUUCACCGCUACACCGGAAAUUCCACCUCCCUCUACUCAACUCUAGCUAACCAGUAUUGAAUGCAAUUCCUAGGUUAAGCCCAGGGCUUUCACAUCCAACUUAAUUAGCCACCUACGCACCCUUUACGCCCAGUAAUUCCGAUUAACGCUCGCACCCUCUGUAUUACCGCGGCUGCUGGCAC